UUAAAGAGUUUAAUAAAACUCCUAAACCCCUGUGAACUUACUGGUGUUUGGCUCGCCAGAUAUAGUCUGGUCCGUAAGCAAAUCGACUGCCUGCCUGUGUAACAGGCAGGUAAGCUUUUGUCGCGGGGUCCCGGAUCAACCCGGGCUAGAUAGCCACUUAACUAUAUACUUUUUAUAAAAUCUGUGAACUUACUAGGUUGGAUUCUCGCCAGAGAUAGUCUGGUUUCUGCCACGCAGAUCGACUGCCUGCCUGUGACACCUGUCACAGGUAGGUAAGCUUUUGCCGCGGGUCCGCAUGUAAAUCGUCUGUUUCACAAGGGACGGCGAUUUACCUGUGGAAGAGGUCCGCUAACUAUAUUCUUAGUAUAGUUUGUUCACUAGAUCAAACAUUCUGAAUAAAAACUUAAACUAGUUAAAACUUUCAACAACGGAUCUCUUGGUUCUGGCAUCGAUGAAGAACGCAGCGAAAUGCGAUAAGUAAUGUGAAUUGCAGAAUUCAGUGAAUCAUCGAAUCUUUGAACGCACAUUGCGCCCAUUAGUAUUCUAGUGGGCAUGCCUGUUCGAGCGUCAUUUCAACCCUUAAGCCCCUGUUGCUUAGCGUUGGGAGCCUACAGCCUGCUGUAGCUCCUUAAAGGUAGUGGCGGAGUCGGUUCACACUCUAGACGUAGUAAAAUCUUUAUCUCGCCUAUGGAUGAGCCGGCGCCUUGCCGUAAAACCCCUAAUCUUUCACAAGGUUGACCUCGGAUCAGGUAGGAAUACCCGCUGAACUUAAGCAUAUCAAUAAGCGGAGGAAAAGAAACCAACAGGGAUUGCCCUAGUAACGGCGAGUGAAGCGGCAACAGCUCAAAUUUGAAAUCUGGCCUUCGGGUCCGAGUUGUAAUUUGCAGAGGAUGCUUUGGGCGCGGUGCCUUCCGAGUUCCCUGGAACGGGACGCCUUAGAGGGUGAGAGCCCCGUACGGUUGGACACCAAGCCUCUGUAAAGCUCCUUCGACGAGUCGAGUAGUUUGGGAAUGCUGCUCUAAAUGGGAGGUAAAUUUCUUCUAAAGCUAAAUAUUGGCCAGAGACCGAUAGCGCACAAGUAGAGUGAUCGAAAGAUGAAAAGCACUUUGAAAAGAGGGUUAAAUAGCACGUGAAAUUGUUGAAAGGGAAGCGUUUGCGACCAGACCUUUUCCCAGCGGAUCAUCCGGUGUUCUCACCGGUGCACUUCGCUGGGUUGAGGCCAGCAUCGGUUUCCGCAGGGGGAUAAAAGCCUGGGGAACGUAGCUCCCUCGGGAGUGUUAUAGCCCCUCGCAUAAUACCCUUGCGGGACCGAGGACCGC
rnacentral:misc_RNA from 1 species